GACGAACGCUGGCGGCGUGCUUAACACAUGCAAGUCGAACGAUGAAGCCCAGCUUGCUGGGUGGAUUAGUGGCGAACGGGUGAGUAACACGUGAGUAACCUGCCCUUGACUCUGGGAUAAGCGCUGGAAACGGCGUCUAAUACCGGAUACGACCUGCCCCGGCAUCGGGUGCGGGUGGAAAGUUUUUCGGUCAAGGAUGGACUCGCGGCCUAUCAGCUAGUUGGUGAGGUAAUGGCUCACCAAGGCGACGACGGGUAGCCGGCCUGAGAGGGUGACCGGCCACACUGGGACUGAGACACGGCCCAGACUCCUACGGGAGGCAGCAGUGGGGAAUAUUGCACAAUGGGCGAAAGCCUGAUGCAGCAACGCCGCGUGGGGGAUGACGGCCUUCGGGUUGUAAACCUCUUUUAGUAGGGAAGAAGGGCUUCGGCUUGACGGUACCUGCAGAAAAAGCACCGGCUAACUACGUGCCAGCAGCCGCGGUAAUACGUAGGGUGCAAGCGUUGUCCGGAAUUAUUGGGCGUAAAGAGCUCGUAGGCGGUUUGUCGCGUCUGCUGUGAAAACCCGAGGCUCAACCUCGGGCCUGCAGUGGGUACGGGCAGACUAGAGUGCGGUAGGGGAGAAUGGAAUUCCUGGUGUAGCGGUGGAAUGCGCAGAUAUCAGGAGGAACACCGAUGGCGAAGGCAGUUCUCUGGGCCGUUACUGACGCUGAGGAGCGAAAGCGUGGGGAGCGAACAGGAUUAGAUACCCUGGUAGUCCACGCCGUAAACGUUGGGAACUAGAUGUGGGGACCUUUCCACGGUCUCCGUGUCGCAGCUAACGCAUUAAGUUCCCCGCCUGGGGAGUACGGCCGCAAGGCUAAAACUCAAAGGAAUUGACGGGGGCCCGCACAAGCGGCGGAGCAUGCGGAUUAAUUCGAUGCAACGCGAAGAACCUUACCAAGGCUUGACAUAUACCGGAAACUUCCAGAAAUGGUUGCCCCGCAAGGUCGGUAUACAGGUGGUGCAUGGUUGUCGUCAGCUCGUGUCGUGAGAUGUUGGGUUAAGUCCCGCAACGAGCGCAACCCUCGUUCUAUGUUGCCAGCACGUCAUGGUGGGAACUCAUAGGAGACUGCCGGGGUCAACUCGGAGGAAGGUGGGGAUGACGUCAAAUCAUCAUGCCCCUUAUGUCUUGGGCUUCACGCAUGCUACAAUGGCCGGUACAAAGGGCUGCGAUACCGUAAGGUGGAGCGAAUCCCAAAAAGCCGGUCUCAGUUCGGAUUGAGGUCUGCAACUCGACCUCAUGAAGUCGGAGUCGCUAGUAAUCGCAGAUCAGCAACGCUGCGGUGAAUACGUUCCCGGGCCU
rnacentral:rRNA from 1 species